rnacentral:rRNA from 1 species
UACGUAGGGGGCUAGCGUUAAUCGGAAUUACUGGGCGUAAAGCGUGCGCAGGCGGUUUUGUAAGCCAGAUGUGAAAGCCCCGGGCUUAACCUGGGAAUGGCAUUUGGGACUGCAAGGCUUGAGUGCGGCAGAGGAGACUGGAAUUCCUGGUGUAGCAGUGAAAUGCGUAGAUAUCAGGAGGAAUACCGAUGGCGAAGGCAGGUCUCUGGGCUGACACUGACGCUCAUGCACGAAAGCGUGGGGAGCGAACAGG